AGGACGAACGCUGGCGGCGUGCUUAACACAUGCAAGUCGAACGGAAAGGCCCUUUCGGGGGUACUCGAGUGGCGAACGGGUGAGUAACACGUGGGUGAUCUGCCCUGCACUUCGGGAUAAGCUUGGGAAACUGGGUCUAAUACCGGAUAGGACUACGAAUCGCAUGGUUUGUGGUGGAAAGCUUUUGCGGUGUGGGAUGGGCCCGCGGCCUAUCAGCUUGUUGGUGGGUGAUGGCCUACCAAGGCGACGACGGGUAG
rnacentral:rRNA from 1 species